rnacentral:rRNA from 1 species
AUGGGAGGAGAGCCCCUCCUCACCUCCCUCUCCAUGGAGAACAGCAACAGCCAUCCCUGCACCCUCCUCUCCAUGGACCCCGCGGGGUCGCACCCGGCCUCAGCCGAGUCCUCCGGCGGCGGCGGCGCCGGCGCCGUCAACGGGGUCGGCGCCAGUGCUGACAGGGAGCUCUUCAUCAUUCCGCGGCAUGAGUCUGUGCGUCAAGGCCCGCCGGACAUCAACGUCCCGCUGUCGGCAGACCCCUCCCCGCCGCCUGCAUUGUGGAGCCUCGACACGUUUGACAUUUUCGAUGUCGGCCUUGGCACGCACACUCAUGAGUCUGAGGUUGCGCUGACGCUUCCAAAGUCGAGCGGCAACGGCAGUGCUGCAGUCGGCGUCGGCGCGAGGAAGUGCGCUAAGAGGGGGGACAGCAUUUGGGGAGCUUGGUUCUUCUUCAAUCACUACUUCAGGCCUGCACUUGUGGAGAAGGCAAAGGAGAAGGUGACGCGGGACGCGUCUGGGAGCAUCACCGGCUUUGACAAGUCCGAUCUCCGCCUUGAUGUCUUCCUGGUGCAGCAUGACAUGGAGAACUUGUACAUGUGGGUUUUUAAGGAACGGCCUGACAAUGCCCUUGGGAAGAUGCAGCUCCGUAGUUUCAUGAAUGGGCAUUCCAAGCACGGGGAGCCAUCUUUUCCAUUCAGUGCGGACAAGGGCUUUUCAAGGUCGCACCGCAUGCAGCGAAAGCACUACCGUGGUCUGUCCAACCCACAGUGCCUUCAUGGCAUUGAGAUUGUGAACUCACCAAACUUGUCGGCAGUUCCUGAGGCUGACAUGAAGAGGUGGGCUGAGCUUACAGGAAGGGACCUUAAUUUCUCAAUACCGGCUGAAGCGAGUGACUUUGAGUCAUGGAGAAAUCUUCCAAGCACUGAUUUUGAACUUGAUAGGCCACAGCCAGCAGCGUCAAAGGGCGUCGCACAUACCUCUCAUAAUAAUAAUCACAAGAAGGCACUGAAUGGUUCAGGUCUGAACCUAUCUACACCGCCGUCAUCAGACGAUGGGAUGGACCUUUCACCAAAGUGCCACAAACGCCGCAAGGACUUCUUUGGUCAUGGCGUAGAAGAGGAUUGUGCGAUGGCCAAUAAUUCCUGUUCUGAGAGAGAGCAAGAGGUAGAAGUCCACACUGGUGAGCCGUCAUGGAUGCAUGACUUCACUGGUGUGGCAAAGCACGCAAGUGGGCCUGUUACUGCUGCCAAGACUAUAUACGAGGAUGAUGAAGGCUACCUGAUAAUGGUGAGCAUGCUCUUAUCCGAUCCACACAGCGUGAAGGUCACCUGGAGGAACACGCUGACGCAUGGCGUCGUGAAGAUAACAUGUGUGAGCACCGCCCGGAUGCCCUUCAUUAAGAGGCACGACAGGACCUUCAAGCUGACCGACCCUUCCCCUGAGCACUGCCCUCCAGGCGAGUUCGUGAGGGAGAUACCUCUGGCCACAAGGAUCCCAGAGAACGCCAAGAUCGAAGCGUAUUAUGACGAGACCGGUACUGGACUGGAGAUCAUGGUACCAAAGCACCGGGUCGGGCCGGAGGAGCAUGAAGUCCAGGUGCUACAUCACUACAUUGGUGGUGAUCCCCUUGACUAUUCCUUUCUGUGA